rnacentral:rRNA from 1 species
CUGUUCGCCAUUUAAAGUGGUACGCGAGCUGGGUUUAGAACGUCGUGAGACAGUUCGGUCCCUAUCUGCCGUGGGCGCUGGAGAAUUGAGGGGGGCUGCUCCUAGUACGAGAGGACCGGAGUGGACGCAUCACUGGUGUUCGGGUUGUCAUGCCAAUGGCACUGCCCGGUAGCUAAAUGCGGAAGAGAUAAGUGCUGAAAGCAUCUAAGCACGAAACUUGCCCCGAGAUGAGUUCUCCCUGAGACCUUGAGUCUCCUGAAGGAACGUUAAAGACUAUGACGUUGAUAGGUCGGGUGUGUAAGCGCAGCGAUGCGUUGAGCUAACCGAUACUAAUGAACCGUGAGGCUUAACCUU